CUGUUGUACUAUGUUGCCU
rnacentral:piRNA from 1 species